rnacentral:rRNA from 1 species
UACAGAGGUCUCAAGCGUUGUUCGGAUUCAUUGGGCGUAAAGGGUGCGUAGGCGGCGCGGUAAGUCGGGUGUGAAAUCUCGGAGCUUAACUCCGAAACUGCAUUCGAUACUGCCGUGCUUGAGGACUGGAGAGGAGACUGGAAUUUACGGUGUAGCGGUGAAAUGCGUAGAUAUUGGGAGGAACACCGGUGGCGAAGGCGGCCCCCUGGACCGGUACUGACGCUGAGGCGCGAAAGCGUGGGUAGCAAACGGG